GCUGGACACAAUGGUGUCUCCUUAUAGUCCCAGCUACUGGGAAGACUGAGGCAAGAUGAUCACUUGAGUCCAGGAGUUCUGGGCUGCAGUGCAUUAUGCAGAUCAGGUGUCUGCACUAAGUUUGGCAGCAAUAUGGUGGCCUCCUGGGAGGGGAGGACACCAGGUUGCCUAAGGAGGGGUAAAUUGGUCCAGUUUGGAAAUGAAGCAGGUCAAAACUCACAUGCUAUUUGGUAGUGGUAUCACGCCUUUGAAUAACCACAGCACCCUAGCCUAGGCAACAUAGUGAUAGUCUCU
rnacentral:SRP_RNA from 1 species